rnacentral:rRNA from 1 species
UGAACGCUAGCGGCGCGCUUAUGCAUGCAAGUCGAGCGAUGAGGCUCCUUCGGGGGUACAUCAGCGGCAGACGGGUGAGUACGCGUAUGUGACUACCCUCGAGACGGGGAUAACGGCUGGAAACAGUCGCUAAUACCCGAUAGACUUACCAGGGUCAAGCGGUAAGAAAAGCUACGGUGCUUGGGGAGGGGCCUGCGGCCCAUCAGCUAGUUGGUAGGGUAACGGCCUACCAAGGCGAAGACGGGUAGGGGGUGUGAGAGCACGAGCCCCCACAAUGGGACUGCGACACGGCCCAUACUCCUACGGGAGGCAGCAGCAGGGAAUAUUGCACCAAUGGACGGAAGUCUGAUGCAGCGACGCCGCGUGAGUGAAGACGGCCUUCGGGUUGUAAAGCUCUUUUACGGGGGACGAGGAAGGACGGUACCCUGGGAAGAAGUGUCGGCUAACUACGUGCCAGCAGCCGCGGUAAGACGUAGGACACAAGCGUUAUCCGGAGUUACUGGGCGUAAAGCGCCUGCAGGCGGCCUGGUAAGUUGGACGUGAAAGCCCCGUGCUUAACGCGGGGAGGUCGGACAAUACUGCCAAGCUAGAGUGCGUCAGAGGGGAGUGGAAUUUCCGGAGUAGCGGUAAAAUGCGCAGAUAUCGGAAGGAACACCAGUGGCGAAAGCGACUCCCUGGGGCGCGACUGACGCUAAGAGGCGAAAGCUAGGGGAGCGAACAGGAUUAGAGACCCUGGUAGUCCUAGCCCUAAACGAUGGAUGCUAGGUGUGGGACGUAAAGUUCCGUGCCGGAGCCAACGCGAUAAGCAUCCCGCCUGGGGACUACGGUCGCAAGGCUAAAACUCAAACGAAUUGACGGGGACCCGCACAAGCAGCGGAGCGUGUGGUUCAAUUCGAUGCUACACGAAGAACCUUACCUGGGUUUGACAUGUACGUGGUAGAGAAGCGAAAGCGGAUUGACCCUUCGGGGAGCGUACACAGGUGCUGCAUGGCUGUCGUCAGCUCGUGCCGUGAGGUGUCGGGUUAAGUCCCGUAACGAGCGCAACCCUUAUCCUUAGUUGCACGUAUCUAGGGAGACUGCCGGCGGGAAGCCGGAGGAAGGUGGGGAUGACGCCAAGUCAGCAUGGCCCUUAUGUCCAGGGCUACACACACGCUACAAUGGCCGGUACAAAGGGCAGCAAAGUCGCGAGGCGGAGCGAAUCCCAACAAAGCCGGUCGUAGUUCGGAUUGCAGGCUGCAACUCGCCUGCAUGAAGCUGGAGUUGCUAGUAACCGCGCGUCAGCUAUAGUGCGGUGAAUACGUACCCGGGUCUUGUACACACCGCCCGUCACGUCAUGGAAGUCGGUAACGCCUGAAGGCGGUAGCCUAGCUCGGAAGAGGGGGCGCUGUCGAAGGCGGGACUGGCAACUGGGACGAAGUC